rnacentral:lncRNA from 1 species
GGAAACCUUGUAGACUUUGUCGGAUAACAGACUGCAGCGGGUGAUCAUAGCUGCUUUAUUAUCUUUGAAAGUGAAAAAUCACCUUAUAUACUACAGUGACAACAAUCCAUGCUCCUUCUCACCGUAUCUCUGCCUCCCAUCACUUAUGAUCUUUUACCAACAACUGCAUUGCCGCAAGUGUUCAGAGGAAGAGGCAAACGUUGAAAGAAGAGCAGUUCAUACCACAGAGGGCUGGAGAACGACAGCUUCACCUUAGUAGAGAAAGGAGAAAAAUCCAGAAGGAGCAAGAGAUGUUUGCCACUGAAAUAGUGAGAGGGGCAAAGCAAGAAAGGAUCCAUUUGCUGUGAAUCUGAACAUCAGAGAGGGCAGAAGGCUUUUUCUUCCUCCUC